CUCCUACCACCCCCUCCCCUUCGUGCACCCCCCACUCCGCUACCCCAAACCCUCCCCGUCUCGCUCGAGCAGUAGGCGGCGGCGGCUCUGGAGGUGCUUCUCCUCCUCCCCCGGCCAAUCUCCAUUGGUGUCCCCUCCGGCCAGCCCGCGGCUUGCUCGUCCUCUUCCGGCCAACCUCCACUGGCGUCUCCUCCGCCGGUCCCUCUGCCAGUCCUACGUAUCCUCCUGCCCCAGCUGCAGCAGCCCGCGGCAUCUAUGACCUCCAUCGGCGUACACAAGUGGGGGCAAUGGAAUUCAGGUGAAAGUCACUCGGUGCAGAUUCUUGCGUAUGCCAGAGGACUAUCUGAAUUUUUCUGGAUGCCAUGUAUAGCGAUUGAUAUGAAUGGAAAAUCCUUUGAAGGAUACAGCAAACAAGAUGCUGGUUCAUAGGCUACACUACUUUUUGGUCCAUUAGGAUUGCGGGAAGGAAGUAUUCCAUGGUCUGAUUUGCCAGCCUGCCACUGCCUCUUUCCCCUGACGGUGCAUGUCCAUGAUGCCAUUGUCAUGCUUGAUGAGAUCAGGUGGUCGACCUUCUCGACCACUUGAGGCACCACCUCCUCCAGCAUGUCCUCCACGACCACGAUCAUUGACCUAUUCCACAAAAUCAGUGAAACACUUGCUACAAACUUGCACACAUGGUUGGACUCCAACGGCCUUUUUUUACAAUGAACUUAGGACCUGUAAGUGCAUAUGGAGUAAAAUUUAUGGUGUUGUAAUGUGCAUGUUCAAAUCUGGAGAAUGUAUGUGUAGAUUAAUGACAUAUAAGUGGAUGGAGUAAACUAUAUGAUGUCAUAAUGUACACGUUUAAAUCUGGAGAAUGUACGUGUACUUGUAACUUUGCUGCUCCUUCAUGA